GCCAGGUGUGGUGGCACAUGUCUGCAGUCCCAGCUACUGAAGAGGCUGAGGUGGGAUGACUGCUGAAGCCCAGGAAUUCGGGGCUAUAGUGAGCUAUACUGAUUGGGUAUCUGUACUGUUUGGCAUCAAUAUGGUGGCCACCGGGGAGCAUGGGACCACCAGGUUGCCUAAGGAGGGGUGAACUGGACCAGGCUGGAAACAGAGCAGGUCAAAACUUCUGUGCUGGUCAGUAGUGGGAUCAUACCUGUGAAUUGCCACUGCACUCCAGCCUGGGCAACAUAGCAAGACCCUAUCCUUU
ensembl:misc_RNA Metazoa_SRP Metazoan signal recognition particle RNA